CCAAAGUUCUGCUGAAAUUGUUCUGCAUUCAAAAGUUCACUUAGAAUUUCUUAUCAAAGUUCAUAUCUUAGAAAUUCUAGAGUCUUAAGAGUCUGUAUAUGAUUUGUAUUGUGAACACCACUGAUUGUAUAUCAAUUGUUCAACUUCAAACAUUUUUCUGUGUAAUUCUGUUUGAAUUAGAAGUCUCUUGCAGUUGUGCUUGAGCAUUAGAAGUCUCUUGAUUGUGUUCAGGAGCAUAGGAAGUCUCUUGCAGUUGUGCUUGAGCAUUUGAAGUUUCAUGCUAGUUUUAGCAAUGAGCAAUUGUAAUCAGAUAUUACAUAGUGAACUAUCCUUGGAAGUGCAAGGGGGACAUGACUAACUUCCGGUUUGUGGAAGGAACCUGUAUAAUUGCUUUGUGUCAUUCUUC
rnacentral:lncRNA from 1 species